rnacentral:rRNA from 1 species
AUGGUGUUCCUUGUCUCUGCCGCCACCAGCACAAAGCAUGAGGUUGCAAACGUCAGAGAUGGACGCGACGCGGCAGGCGAUUGCGUCGGACCAGUAGGAGGUGGAGCACUCGGACUCGGACGUGGCCGGCAAGCGGUGUUCGUGAUGCUGCUGCAACACACGGUGCGCAAGGACGAGAGCGCGCCGGUGCAUGCGUCCCUGGCGGUGCUGAAGAGCGCCGGUGUGGCGGGCAUCAUGGUGGACUCGUGGUGCGUCGCCAAGAGCGAGCGCCCGAUCGGUGCAAAUUCGACAGCCGUCUCCGCACUCUACACCAUGCACAACGACUUCGCUGACGCCAUCAAGGACAAGCGCAUCUCCCUCAUCGAGAGCCCGGAUGGCGAGCACCCCGGCGUGCAGAUCACGGUCGUCCAAUUCCUUGAUGGGAAGGCCGACAGCGAGGAGCACACGGAGGUCACGCUGCGUCCGUUCCAUGAAGGAGCAGAUGCUUGCACGCAUGAGCUUGACAAGGCCGCCGUUGCGGAGUUCCGUCAGAGGAUGGGCGACGCGGUGCGGUUCGAGGAGUGUGUAGUGGCCGGAAACGUGAUCGGGGAGGUGGUGGAAAUCAGCAGGAGCCGGGAGUACGGGCUGGUGGUGGAGCGCAAGGGGCGGCUGCCGUCGACGACAGUGGGGGAGCUGGCCGUCCGCGGACCGCCGGCGCGCGCGUGA